rnacentral:rRNA from 1 species
GAAUUCACUAGUGAUUCAGGCCUAACACAUGCAAGUCGAGCGGUAGAGAGAAGCUUGCUUCUCUUGAGAGCGGCGGACGGGUGAGUAAUGCCUAGGAAUCUGCCUGGUAGUGGGGGAUAACGUUCGGAAACGGACGCUAAUACCGCAUACGUCCUACGGGAGAAAGCAGGGGACCUUCGGGCCUUGCGCUAUCAGAUGAGCCUAGGUCGGAUUAGCUAGUUGGUGAGGUAAUGGCUCACCAAGGCGACGAUCCGUAACUGGUCUGAGAGGAUGAUCAGUCACACUGGAACUGAGACACGGUCCAGACUCCUACGGGAGGCAGCAGUGGGGAAUAUUGGACAAUGGGCGAAAGCCUGAUCCAGCCAGGCCGCGUGUGUGAAGAAGGUCUUCGGA